CAGACACAUGCUGCAGAGCCUGGAAAUCAUCCCAGUGCAGAUCCCUUUUUAAAAGCCCACAAAACAGUGCCUGGAGGUACAUUUCCAGCAACUGACUAGGGGUUCAGGGUUGCAGCCGAGCUGAGCUGGGAGUCUCGAUAGAUUCAAAUGGACCAAGCCUUUGACCAAAAGGAGAAGAGAAUGCACAUUUGUUGAGCACAAUAAUGCUGUGAAGAGGAUGCUCUUACCUCCAUUUUGCAUUUUGCCUUUUGGAAACCUCAGAGCAGUGCUUCUCAAAUGUUAACGUGCAUACGAUGAAUCACGUGGGCAUCUUGUUAAAAUGCAGAGUUUUGAGUCGAGGGUCUGGGGAGGGCUGAGAUUGUGCACUUCUAAGGAGAUGCCAGGUGGUGCUAAUUCUGCUGCACUGGACACCACACUUAGAGUGGCGAGGUCACUAAAUAAUAGGAGCAAAAGGAUCGUGAGAACACCGACAUCAGUGAGAAGGAGGCUGGCUGCAGAGACCAUGAGAAACUGUGUGAGCAGAGCCAAAGGCCACGUUCAAGGAAGUGAAACCUGCCAACAGCCACCGGAUGAGUUUGGAAGUAUAUCUUGUCCCAGUUGAACCUUGUGUUGACUGUAGCCCAACUGGAGUAAUUUUCAAUGCAGCAAUAGAUAAAGAAUAUACCAGAAUGGAGCUACCACAUGGUCAGGAGGAAGAGACUCACAAAGAAAGAUGAAGGUUGCAGAGAGGUGCUAUGGAAAUAGCACAUGCUAAAGGAG
rnacentral:lncRNA from 1 species